rnacentral:lncRNA from 1 species
GUCAACAUUCCUACCCAAGGAAUGAGCUCUCCCACGGCAUCCCAUUUCGGCGCCCAAUCCCGAACGAGCGAGCUUAUGUCGCAAUAGCUAUCUCCGGAGUGCCGGCUUGUGAGGAGCGACCCUCACAAGCAUAUGCGAAUAAGCACACAAUGGCAAGCAAGCAUAAAUAUCCGUCUCAAGUCCAAUGUCAUUAUGUCUAAAAUAUGGUAUAAAUACUAGCGACCACGAAGGUCUAGUUCUAAAAUUUAGAAUUUAAAAUUGAAAAUUUAAAAUCUAAAUUUAAAAUUUAAAAUUUGAAAUUUAAAUGUAAAAAUAUAAAUAAUUAUGAAAUAUAAAAUAUAAAAUAUAAAUAUUUAAAAAUAUAUUUAAAUUUUAAAUUUUAAAAUUUAAAAUUUAAAAUUAAAAUUUAAAUUUUAAAAUUUAAAUUUAAAUUUAAAAAUUAAAAAUUAAAAAUUAAAAAUAAUUAUGAAAUUUAAAAUUUAAAAUUUGAAUAUUUAAAAUUUAAAAUUUGAAUAUUUAAUAUUUUAAAUUUUAAAUUUUAAAUUUGAAUAUAAUAUUUUAAAUUUUUUUAAAUUUUAAAUUUUAAAUAUUCAAAUUUUAAAUUUUUGAAAUUUAUAAUUUGAAGAUUAAAAAUUAUAAUUUAACAUUUAAAAAUUUUAAAUUUUUAUAUUUAAAUUUUAAAAUCUAAAAUGUCAAAU